UACGUAGGGUGCAAGCGUUAUCCGGAAUUACUGGGCGUAAAGCGUGCGCAGGCGGUUCGUUGUGUCGGCGGUGAAAGCCCCGGGCUCAACCUGGGAAUGGCCGUUGAAACUGGCGAACUGGAGUGUGGCAGAGGGGGGUGGAAUUCCGCGUGUAGCAGUGAAAUGCGUAGAGAUGCGGAGGAACACCGAUGGCGAAGGCAGCCCCCUGGGCUGACACUGACGCUCAGGCACGAAAGCGUGGGGAGCAAACAGG
rnacentral:rRNA from 1 species